AGAGGGAUAGUUGGGUCAAAUGGUGGUCCCAUUCCCAGAUUUCCAAGGAAUCUCCAUACUGCUUUCCAUAUUGGCUGCACCAAUUUGCAGUUCCACCAACAAU
rnacentral:pre_miRNA from 1 species